UGUCUAGUGGUCACAUCCCAUACAGUUACUAUUCCAUCAUAAUCGCUACUUGCUAUGUGGUUCUUGGUAUACUUAUUCCAGCUCAAGCAGCUCAGCUUAGAACGAAUUGACAUUUCGACAACAGGGCAAUGCACAUCUGCAGGUUCAUUUACUACCUGAAAAGCAGAAGCAUAACAGGCUAGAUCAGUGAAAAGAAUGGACCUUGGGCCUAACUCAAACCCAAAAGCUAGCUUGUUGACAUUUCAACUACAGGGCAAUGCAUAUCUGCAGGUUCAUUUACAACCUGAAAAGCAGAAGCAUAACAGGUAGAUCAGUAACUAGAAGAAGUAACUUGAGAGAAAUAUGCAAAAGGAGAGCUCUGCCAUAAUAUUUGUCCACAAAUAAAACAUACUAUCAUGGCAAGAAAAGGUUAACUAUAUCCUUAAAUGCCAAAUAUGUAAAUAGUACUCAAGGUCAUUUAUGUAAAUAUCAAUGGAACAAAAUUAGCUGCAAUAGUCAGGUGUUGUUCUUCCAUCCAAGCACCACUCCAAUGUGUUGCAGGAACAUAUAUGAAAUUUAAUAGAUCCAAUAUGCCCACCAGGCGACGUGCUGUCUGCAACCAGGAACUUGUUGUCAUCCAAAUUUGCAGCAACAAACAAGGAAAAUACUAUUCCAGAAAGAAUGUCACCUUCACAGAGAAAGAUAUUUCAUUCCCUGUGGAAGGUUCCGUAUUGACACACACCCACAUGCUAUUAAGCAUUAUGUAUGCCAGCAAGGUAUUGAGUGUUCGAGCUGUAAAUGAACCAAUACUAUUUGUGAACAAAGCUCAACUCUUGGUCUCUGAGCUUCUUUAAACUUUAAGUUAGUACGUUAAGGAGCUGAGCUCCUACAAACUUGAGGUCUGCUCUUUUAUAUUCCUUGACGAUUUACUUUUUAACAAUUAUUCACUUAAAUAUAUCUAUAUUAGUGCGAAAAAAAUAAUAGCACCCGAUUUAAUUCUAAAUCUGCUCAUAUUAUAUUAUUACUUUUACAAAGUAUUAUUAAUAAUUUAAUAUAUACAUAAUUUGAGCUUGAACUGAGGUUCGAGCUCUAACUCGAUGUAUCAGCUUGUUUAGUUUGUCACACAAGUUGGGCCAAGUUCAAGUUUGACUAAAUUUAUGUGACGCGUGCUUGAGCUUACUAUCACCAACUUGUUUGGGAUUGAGGAAUAGCUGUUGUUGUGCGGGAACUUGCUUUCAAGCUCAUCUGGAAUUUGAACCAAAGCACUCAAUAAUACUGAAGUUGAGUUUGAACAACCAAAACGCAGGGCGGCUCGGGCUUUUUUUAUGAAUAAUCAGAAGGUGAAAAAUAAUUUCAGAAUAGAAUAGCUUUUGCACUUCCUCAUUUGCAAAAUAAACAAUAGAAGUUGACCCAUGAUAUGUCAUUCAGUAAUGUCAUUGCAUCCAAUGGUAUCAAGUGAUAAAACCAGCUAAAAUUUAA
rnacentral:lncRNA from 1 species